rnacentral:lncRNA from 7 species
CAUACUCUCAUUCCCACUGCUGAUGCCCCAGUCCCAUUUUCCCAGUCCGCAUUCCACCACUGGGAGGUCCCCCAAUCCCAUUUCUGAUCCCAUUUCUUUUCCCACUGAUCUCAUUCCCAAUCCCAUUCGCAGCUCCCAUCCCAUUCCACCACUGAUACCCAUCCGCAUUUCUGUCCCUUUCCUUUCCUACUGAUGUGGCAUGUCCCAGUUCCCAUUUCCCUUAUUCCUGGACUUUGAUCGCAGAGUGCUUCCCAUUCCCAGUCCCUUCCACUCCAUUCCGACCCCUGAUCCCAAUCCCAUUCCCAGUCCCAUUCCCAUCCCAUUCCGACCCCUGAUCCCAAUCCCAUUUCUGAUCUCCCUUCUUUUCCCACCAACCCCAUUCCCACCCCAUUCCCACCCCGUUCCCUGCCCAUGCCCAGGACUGGCAGGUUCACUACCAGCAGGACGGUCCGGUUGCGCCCCGCUUUGACGUCAACGCCCCCGACCUCUACAUCCCAGGUACGGCCCCGAUGUCCCCACGUGUCCGCAAAUGUCCCCACGGACCCCAAUGUCUAUAAAUACCCCCAUUGGCCCCAACAUCCCAAAGGGUCCCCAUUGGCCCAAACGUCCCCAGUCGUCCCAAAUUGGCCCCAAUGUCUGCAGAUGUCCCAAAUCGUUGUCCCAAAUGGUCCCCCGUUGUCCCCCACUGUCCCCUCUGAUGUCCCCAAUGCUGUCCCCACAGCGAUGGCAUUCAUCACAUACCUGCUGGUGGCCGGGCUGGCGCUGGGCACCCAGAACAGGUUCUCAUCCCGACAGCCUGGGCCUGCAGGCGAGCUUCAGACCGGCCUGGCUGCUGCUGGAGGUGCUGGCGGUGCUGCUGCGGCAGGGCCUCUACCCGCUGUUCUCAGUUGCGUUCCUCCACCGACCUCGGGAGCCAACCGCCCGACCUUG